CUGCUUUGUUGGAAUCUUGACAACAUUUGCAAAAGUCUUGAUCAGGGAAGGGAACGUGGAAUAAAUGGAAGUCAAGGAGGGAUGUGAGCCAAGGAGCUAAAAGACUACAUCUAGC
rnacentral:lncRNA from 1 species